CCGCCACGCGUGUAGAGGUAUGUGCGUGUUACGAAAAACGCGAGGAGCGGGUUCUGAAGUCUGUCGUUGGUCACACAUACAUGCAUUUACCAGCGGAUUGCGCUACACCGUGUCUACCCAUCUUUUUCGAUCUAUCAUGAUCUUUUCUGCUAUCGCACUCAUCCGGGUGUUAGGCAUUCUCAGUCUGUCCAGAACUUUCGUUGUGGAAGGAUGUGCGGGAGUGAUGUGCGAUUUCUUGUGUCCCCUACUUUCCAUGUUUACGUUUUGCGCAGUGUUGCUUCUUAUUCCAUUGUGGAAUGAUUUAUCCUAGCUAACUUGUUGAGUUACAGGUGCAUGCUCCAUUCAUCAGCGCCUACGUGUUGGCAUCAUCAACAAUCUUCAAAGUGGGUGACGGAAAGAAAUUGUUUUCCAGUUUUAAAAUAUUAAGCGUUCAGCACAACUCAGCCACAAAACAACCCCCUGUGCAAUGCGAUCCAAAAAUUGGAACCUCUCGCUCAUGUAGUUCGUUUUUCUCUUUCCCUCCUACAGCGUUUUUGUCGAGCAGCUCAUCGAGCAAUGCGUCCCUUGCGUUUCCUCUUCCCCUUCGCCUGAGCGCGCUGCCAAAGAUGUAUAUGUGUUGGUAUGCUUGAUGUGGAACGAUUGCGGCGCCGAUAGAAAAUGUAAACAUUGCGGACUGCUCAUCCAAGAGUGCUCCGGCGUUAAUUAAAUAAUAAUUGCAUAAAGUCGAGUGAAAAUAGGAUCAAGCCGUGUAAAAAGAAUACAUUUAAUGUAUCCCGACCCUGUCCAUAGUCAUGCGCGUCAAAUGGCACGGUUGGAACGCGAACAUACUGCGACGCGAAUGCGUUUUGCUGAGCAACCGGAA